rnacentral:rRNA from 1 species
UCAAACUCUGAAUGGCAGUGACAACGACCCUGGCACACAGGCUGCGAGAGCUAAGUUCCGUAAGCCAAAAGGGAAACGAGCCCAGACCGCCAGCUAAGGUCCCCCAAAUAUACACUAAGUGGAGAAGGAUGUGGGGGCACACAGACAGCCAGGAGGUUGGCUUAGAAGCAGCCAUCCUUUAAAGAAAGCGUAAUAGCUCACUGGUCAAGUGAACCUGCGCCGAAAAUGUAACGGGGCUCAAGUGUAUUACCGAAGCUUGCGGAUGGCACUCAGGACUGCGGUCCUGAGGUCGUGGUAGGCGAGCAUUCCAUGGGCGGCGAAGUCCGACGGGAACGACGGAUGGAGCGCAUGGAAGAGCUUAUGCAGGCUUGAGUAGCGAUAAAACAGGUGAAAACCUGUUCGCCGUAAGCCCAAGGGUUCCUGGGUCAAGUUCAUCUUCCCAGGGUUAGUCGGUCCCCUAAGGCGAGGCCGAAAGGCGUAGCUGAUGGGAAGC